rnacentral:rRNA from 1 species
CCUACGGGAGGCAGCAGUGGGGAAUUUUGGACAAUGGGCGCAAGCCUGAUCCAGCCAUGCCGCGUGAGUGAAGAAGGCCUUCGGGUUGUAAAGCUCUUUCAGACGGAAAGAAAUCGGUGUGUCUAAUACACGCACUGGAUGACGGUACCGUAAGAAGAAGCACCGGCUAACUACGUGCCAGCAGCCGCGGUAAUACGUAGGGUGCGAGCGUUAAUCGGAAUUACUGGGCGUAAAGCGUGCGCAGGCGGUUAUGUAAGACAGAUGUGAAAUCCCCGGGCUCAACCUGGGAACUGCGUUUGUGACUGCAUAACUAGAGUACGGCAGAGGGGGAUGGAAUUCCGCGUGUAGCAGUGAAAUGCGUAGAUAUGCGGAGGAACACCGAUGGCGAAGGCAAUCCCCUGGGCCUGCACUGACGCUCAUGCACGAAAGCGUGGGAAGCAAACAGGAUUAGAUACCCUGGUAGUCCACGCCCUAAACGAUGUCAACUGGUUGUUGGGUCUUAGCUGACUCAGUAACGAAGCUAACGCGUGAAGUUGACCGCCUGGGGAGUACGGCCGCAAGGUUAAAACUCAAAGGAAUUGACGG